rnacentral:sRNA from 1 species
AACUGCCCCAGAUGGAAGUGAAAACCCCGCAGUCUUGUUGACUUAAAUUUUUUGGGUUUGCAAAGCGACUGAAAGAAGCUCUUGCAAACACAUAAAAAUUUUGUCAACAAGAUGAGGAGUUGUAACGGACAGCUGGAUUAGGC